rnacentral:rRNA from 1 species
AUUGAACGCUGGCGGCAGGCUUAACACAUGCAAGUCGAGCGAGCGGCGGACGGGUGAGUAAUUUCUGGGAAACUGCCUGACGGAGGGGGAUAACUCCUGGAAACGUUAGCUAAUACCGCUUACCAUCACCUGUGCCCAGAUGGGAUUAGCUAGUAGGCGGGGUAAUGGCUCGCCUAGGCGACGAUCCCUAGCUGGUCUGAUAGGAUGACCAGCCACACUGGAACUGAGACACGGUCCAGACUCCUACGGGAGGCAGCAGUGGGGAAUAUUGCACAAUGGGCGCAAGCCUGAUGCAGCCAUGCCGCGUGUGUGAAGAAGGCCUUCGGGUUGUAAAGCACGUUAAGCGAGGAGGCGUUACUCGCAGAAGAAGCACCGGCUAACUCCGUGCCAGCAGCCGCGGUAAUUC